rnacentral:lncRNA from 1 species
AUCUCAAUACAAGAGAUAAAAAAUUUAAAUAUUUUUCCACUUGAAGAACUUAUCGGCUCAUUGAUGACAUAUGAAAUGGUGCGCAAUGCAUAUGAUGAACAUGAUGAACAAAACAACCUUCCAAAGAAUAGGAAGGAUUUGUGACAUAGAACAUUUGAAGACCACUCGAGCAUAAGCUCAAGUGAUGGUGAAUUACAUGUUUAAAAA